AUUGAACGCUGGCGGCAGGCCUAACACAUGCAAGUCGAGCGGAUGAAGGGGGCUUGCUCCUGGAUUCAGCGGCGGACGGGUGAGUAAUGCCUAGGAAUCUGCCUGGUAGUGGGGGAUAACGUCCGGAAACGGGCGCUAAUACCGCAUACGUCCUGAGGGAGAAAGUGGGGGAUCUUCGGACCUCACGCUAUCAGAUGAGCCUAGGUCGGAUUAGCUAGUUGGUGGGGUAAAGGCCUACCAAGGCGACGAUCCGUAACUGGUCUGAGAGGAUGAUCAGUCACACUGGAACUGAGACACGGUCCAGACUCCUACGGGAGGCAGCAGUGGGGAAUAUUGGACAAUGGGCGAAAGCCUGAUCCAGCCAUGCCGCGUGUGUGAAGAAGGUCUUCGGAUUGUAAAGCACUUUAAGUUGGGAGGAAGGGCAGUAAGUUAAUACCUUGCUGUUUUGACGUUACCAACAGAAUAAGCACCGGCUAACUUCGUGCCAGCAGCCGCGGUAAUACGAAGGGUGCAAGCGUUAAUCGGAAUUACUGGGCGUAAAGCGCGCGUAGGUGGUUCAGCAAGUUGGAUGUGAAAUCCCCGGGCUCAACCUGGGAACUGCAUCCAAAACUACUGAGCUAGAGUACGGUAGAGGGUGGUGGAAUUUCCUGUGUAGCGGUGAAAUGCGUAGAUAUAGGAAGGAACACCAGUGGCGAAGGCGACCACCUGGACUGAUACUGACACUGAGGUGCGAAAGCGUGGGGAGCAAACAGGAUUAGAUACCCUGGUAGUCCACGCCGUAAACGAUGUCGACUAGCCGUUGGGAUCCUUGAGAUCUUAGUGGCGCAGCUAACGCGAUAAGCCGACCGCCUGGGGAGUACGGCCGCAAGGUUA
rnacentral:rRNA from 1 species